UACGUAGGGUGCAAGCGUUGUCCGGAAUUAUUGGGCGUAAAGAGCUCGUAGGCGGUUUGUCGCGUCUGCUGUGAAAACUCGGGGCUUAACUCCGGGCCUGCAGUGGGUACGGGCAGACUAGAGUGCGGUAGGGGAGACUGGAAUUCCUGGUGUAGCGGUGAAAUGCGCAGAUAUCAGGAGGAACACCGGUGGCGAAGGCAGGUCUCUGGGCCGAUACUGACGCUGAGGAGCGAAAGCGUGGGGAGCGAACAGG
rnacentral:rRNA from 1 species